GCUCCAGUGGCUUAGUGAUUAGAGCGUCCGCCUCGGAUGCGAGAGGUCGCGAUUUCGAACCCCGGCCGAGUCA